UGGGGAAUAUUGGACAAUGGGCGAAAGCCUGAUCCAGCCAUGCCGCGUGAGUGAUGAAGGCCUUAGGGUUGUAAAGCUCUUUUAGCAGGGAAGAUAAUGACGGUACUAUUUAUAAGCUCCGGCUAACUACGUGCCAGCAGCCGCGGAAAUACGUAGGGAGCAAGCGUUGUUCGGAUUUACUGGGCGUAAAGGGCGCGUAGGCGGCGCGGUAAGUCACUUGUGAAAUCUCUGAGCUUAACUCAGAACGGCCAAGUGAUACUGCAGUGCUAGAGUGCAGAAAGGGCAAUCGGAAUUCUUGGUGUAGCGGUGAAAUGCGUAGAUAUCAAGAGGAACACCUGAGGCGAAGGCGGGUUGCUAGGCUGACACUGACGCUGAGGCGCGAAAGCCAGGGGAGCAAACG
rnacentral:rRNA from 1 species